rnacentral:rRNA from 1 species
GAUGAACGCUGGCGGCGUGCCUAAUACAUGCAAGUCGAGCGAACAGACGAGGAGCUUGCUCCUCUGACGUUAGCGGCGGACGGGUGAGUAACACGUGGAUAACCUACCUAUAAGACUGGGAUAACUUCGGGAAACCGGAGCUAAUACCGGAUAAUAUAUUGAACCGCAUGGUUCAAUAGUGAAAGACGGUUUUGCUGUCACUUAUAGAUGGAUCCGCGCCGCAUUAGCUAGUUGGUAAGGUAACGGCUUACCAAGGCAACGAUGCGUAGCCGACCUGAGAGGGUGAUCGGCCACACUGGAACUGAGACACGGUCCAGACUCCUACGGGAGGCAGCAGUAGGGAAUCUUCCGCAAUGGGCGAAAGCUUGACGGAGCAACGCCGCGUGAGUGAUGAAGGUCUUCGGAUCGUAAAACUCUGUUAUUAGGGAAGAACAAAUGUAUAAGAAACUAUGCACGUCUUGACGGUACCUAAUCAGAAAGCCACGGCUAACUACGUG